GGGGGCAUGGCUCAGUGGUAGAGCAUCUGCCUGGCAUGCAGAAGGUUUCAGGUUCUAUCCUUGGCAUCUCCA
rnacentral:tRNA from 1 species